GGUCAGUCUUGCGCCUGCUCCCUGAUGCUCUGGCGCAAGGGGACGGUCAUCUCGUUGGCCCCCUGCAGAGCUGAGCACCGAGCUGCCGGCCGCCAGCCCAGGGGCUGAAGGCUCCAGCAAGGACGCACGCCUCGGCGUCUCCCCUUGCCGCUUAGGAGAAUCAUGCUGAAGCCGACCCUUCUGUUUCCAGAGCGGGGUGCUGCCCAUCAGCGGCGCCGGCGUCUCUCUCCAGCUGCGAGGCUGCUCAGUGCUGUUGGUUUGCUGCAUCAUGCGCGGCUCCCAUCAGCAGGGAGACAGGGGCGGGGUUGCAUUUGGAACAGGCACAGGGGAGUAAUACCGCCUGACCGGCACGUCAGGAUGUGCCAGCCGUGAACUAGACGGCGUCCUUCUCCAGAAACUCUGGGGCACAGCACUGGGGGGUCCUGGCACUGGGGGCUCCUGGCAUUGAGGGGGUCCUGGCAUUGGGAGUUCUCUGGUAUCGGGAGUCCUGGCACUGCGGGACCCCUGGCACUGGGGAGCCCCUGGCACUAGAUUUGAAGCCAGAUCGUUGGAGCAGCUGACAAUCAGAGCGUGUUCUUCAGGAUUGCUCACAGAAAUUUGUGUUUCUCUCUCCUCCCAGCAAGCAGCAGAAGCAUCACAAGAGAGCCAGAGAAAAUGUGGGUUCCCCAUUUGCAAUGCUCAGAGGAGACCAUGUGCAUUGGGUAAUGGGAGAAACGAACACACACGUGAGACUUCCAAUCAAGUAACACGCACUGCUCAGCACAGUCAGAUUCAAGUGGGAGUGCACAUGGCGAGUCUUGAAGUUUAAGAUGCGUUAACAUCAGGCCUUUCAACUUCACAUUGUGCUAAAACCCAGCAGCAACACAGCAUCAAUCAACUAAGUAAGACUUCACUGGAAGACAGAGCCUGCACAUGGCCCCAGAGGGAGCCCCGCAGACAGAUUCCACGUCCAAGUUGAAAGGCAGAAACACACAAGGCAGCCGCGAAGUUUACUGUCCAUGCAAGGACCCACUUGAGAGCGGAUGGCCGUGCCAACCAGAUGGAACGCCCGGACAGCAGGUGUAAACCAGGACAUCCUGGCAAACAGGUCGGUUGGGUCCCCCAAGACAGAUGGAACACUUCUGUGCCCAAGGCCACUACCAAGGGCUUUUGAAGGCCCCAUGUGUGCUGGAAAUAUUACUAAAUCUCACAAAAACCCAGGGUGAUUUCUUCCUGAAAUCAUCCAUUACUUCCUCCUUGGUUCAUCUGUUCUCAGUAACUUACUAUUUCUGGACCCCAGGACACUUCCACCACGAAGUCUUUUCUCUACUUACAAUGCUCCUGUCCGUCUUUCCCGUCUCCAUCCAUGGAGAUCCCAGUGAUUCUUCGAGACCUAACUCAGCAGUGCCUCUUGUGUGAAGAAAGGGCGGGUUGGGGACCUUUUUGUUACCUAAGCUCCUGCAGAGCUGCAUCUGUAUCCUUUUGGGGCAUUUGCCUCCUUCCAUUUUGUUACGUUUCUGGGUGGAAUCAUGUCCACUGCUGAGCUGAGAGGAGGGACCAAGCCCAAAGCCUGGAGUCCCCAGAACCCCGGGGCCACCGAAGCCGGACGUGCGCACUUAACUGCUGCGCCAACGGGCCGGCCCCGCCACUACUUCUGAUGCUAAUGGUCACUCUUGUAUCCGUAUCGACCUGAUCAUUCUUGCAGGUGUUGCUGCUGGCCUUCCUGCACUGGAUGCUCACAGAGAGAGGAGAGAUGUUUCUAACAAAAAGAGGGUGCCCCGUAUUCUCAGUUUGUUGUCAAAUUUCCCCCGAUGGAGCUCACCACAAGUUUCUGCACAGUUGAAAGAAAUAUGAGGGCACCUUCCCUAGGACACCCAACAUACUUCUCUGGACAGCAAAUGCCCCGUGUUCCAGCAAAGGUGCUAUGAACACAACAAAUCUAUGCCUUUUUAUAUGUACUUUUUAUACACUAGACACUAUGCUAAAUGCUCUAUAUAUGUUGUCUCAUUUGAUCUUACUUUAGUGAGGUAGGUACUACCAUUGUUCCUAUUCUACAGGUGAGGACACAGAUGUGCAGAGACCCAGCACCUCGACCCUCUGAUCUCAAGGUGAGAGGGUGGAGGCAGCUCACUCUGCUCUUCAGAUUUAACGGGACUUUUCACUGCAUUGCAGUCACCAACCCUGACUGUUGUCCUCCAGUCUCGUCAAGCGCCCACUGGGUCAUCCAGGCAACCAUUCUCCAGCAGAAAUCCCUCCUGUGCCUGAUGUGUAGGUGGACAUUAGGCCUCACUGAAUUACAUGGGCUGAUGGCGCUCAGUUUUCUUUUAGUUACAAUGCAAUUCAAAAUGUGAAUAAAGGCUCAAGAAAUAGGAAAUGCGGUCUGAACAAUAACGAAAGCUAAGAUAUUGAGUAAUAUCGCCAUGCUCUGUUCUGUGAGGACUCGGUCCUCAUAACAACCCCAAGAGGUAGGGACUAUUAUUAUUCCCAUUUUAUAGGCACAGACAGGUUAAGUAACUUGCACAAGAUUGCACAGCUCAUAAGUGGAGAAGCCAGCAUUUGAAUCCAGCAAUAGGGUAGGUCUGUUUCUCGCAAAUGCCAAAUACAGCAAGACUUUCAAUCUUCCUGUAUGCUUCUUUCUUAUCGCACUUUAGAAAAGAAUUCACCAAAAAUACCAGAAUUGAAAUCAGGCAUGAGCAGUAGUUCAAACGAGAGGUUCACAUCCAAUGAGUUCUACUCGUAGGCAGAGGGGAAAGGAAAAACUAAAAAGACUGAAAAUAUAAAGAAGAGAAAGGAAAGUGCUGGGGCCGGCCCCACGGUGCAGCGUUAAGUACGCACGUUCCACUUCGGCAACCCGGGGUUUGCCGGUUUGGAUCCCGGGUGUGGACAUGGCACCGCUUGGCAUGCCGUACUGUGGUAGGCGUCCCACAUAUAAAGUAGAGGAAGAUGGGCACGGAUGUUAGCUCAGGGCCAGUCUUCCUCAGAGAGAAGAGGAGGAUUGGCAGCAGUUAGCUCAGGGCUAAUCUUCCUCAAAAAAAACAAAAGAAGUAGUGGCAAAUUAAGCCCAUUAAGUCACAGGCUGCGAAGAGACAAGGAAUCUUUAUUAAUCACCAGCAGAGGACAUGACCUAGGAGACUCUGCCAGGAGAAAGGCAGUCAGAGCACCCACGGUUCUCCGGGUGGGGGCUCGGAGCCAGUGGGUUUGCACUAGCGUGGUUACUGCAUCCUGCACUCCUAGAAUGACUCACGCAGACCAUGGCGCCUCGAGAACUAGGGGUUACAGACAGUACCGAAUCACAGUCCCGGGGAAAGGAGUUUGUCCGUUUCCACACACAUCUGCACCUGACCCAUACGUCUAUCUUGUCCAAGGAUCCCCAAGGGAGGGCAUCCCACCAACUUUCCUUGCCAUUCUAUGCCAACAAUCACCAUUUUUUUCUUUAUGUUUAUCCUUAUUAGUGUCCAUUCCUUCUUCGGCUCUGUUUGUGGAGAGAUAGCUAAGGUGGUUUGCAUUUUCCUGUGGCAAGCACAUCUCAGAAAGUCCAAAUGGCACAGUUUCCCUCCGUUAAUUUUCACUUAGAUCUUAACCUUCUCAUUUUAUUUCACUUGGACUCUGGAUAGCCAAGUAGAAAUAAUGCUUGGCGGCCUUUGGGCAGGACACCGGCUGCUUCUCCACCCCUUCUCCUGUGGUUUAGUGAACCACACAGUCCGGUUCUGCAAUAUCCUUGUUUCUGGACUUCUAACCUCCUUCCCAGCAGGGAGAUGAUUCAUGCUAAAAGCCACGUCUUACACCAAGGCUUACUGGGCACACCAAAUGCUCAUUCAAAUGGCAACAUCUGUCCUUGGAACCCAAGGUUAAAUUUAGUUAAAGACGUCCCAACUCUGCCCCCAGCCCUCUUCAGUUCCAUCCGCUUUACUUUCCUGAAGAUGUGACGAGAAAGAUUUCAGAAGUGAGCACGACGGUGCGUCCCAGUUCUCUGGGCAGAGCUGCACCCGGCGCUGGGACUCUAUGAUGCUCUGAAGGAGGCAUGACCGUGCAGUGGGCUUACAACAAACUCACCGUUGGCAGAAGCUUCCAUGUCACCACUUUGGCCCUGAUGAGUUUGAAAUUCUUGCUUCGGGCCAUAUGGAGUGGGAAACUGAGGCACGAGGCGGGAAGUUAUGGCCUGACUCCCAGCAGCUGAGCUGAACCCGGACAGCGGUCUGCUUCCUUGCUCUGCUGUGCUCCCCUCUGCAUCAGGUGGCCUCGCCCAACACAGGACAACGACCAGCUUGGACCCCCCAGAGGCUUCCCAGAGUGGGUGGGGGCUGGAUUGGGGCCCACAGUUCCUGCCUCUUUUACCUUGAAAAUGGAUACUUCUUGGGUAGAAAGAUGUGUCAGUGGUUGUAUGUGGUAAGUGCUCCGUGCAGGCUGAACACCUCACGGAUAUUGCGUUACGGUCUUCUCGAUGUCUAAGUCUCUCUCUGACAGUGUGUCAGGAUGUCCACUAUCGGAAUCUCUGGGGGACCAUUAAGACUGAAUUUUACUAUUUUAGUUUAUACCUCAGUGGAUCAAAAAUCCAUACUUAAUGGGAGAAGGCACUACGUAGAUUUGAGAGUCUGUCGGGUUUCAGAGUAACAAGGAAGUAGAAGGAAGAUCACUGUGGGAGUGAGGCACUAACCAAGCAGUCAGGAAAACAGCCUGAAUGGUACCUCCCCAGGGCUGGAACGUAGUGCUGGAAGAAGACGCAACCAUGAAAUUUAACUCCUGAUGUCUAACAGAAACCUCACAGAAUUACAUUAAAUUCACAGAAUCAAUGGAUGAAAGUUGUUUCAAAAUUUAAGAACUCAGCAAGGUUCUGUUUCCUCUUUUCCUGUCCUGCAUGAGACCCGAGAAAAGAGAGAAAUGCGUGUGGGAUGCAUUCUGGAGGUCAAGUUUGGGAAGGUCAGCCCUGAGUGUGGGAAGAGGAAAAGCUCUGGAGCGAGACUGAGCAGGGUUCAAAUCCUACCUCCGACAUUAGGAAACUGGAGAGCUAAUCAGCCAUGCAGAAUCAGGACAUUUACAGCUGAAGAUUCUUGCUUCUCCUCAAGGUCUUGGAAGAAAUUCUCAAACUUUGCACUUCUGUGUCUCGCUCCCUUCACACCCUGAAGGUGAAUUUGGGAAUAAUUGUGUGCCCUGCCAUGUCACUUAAUACUUUUCAAAAUGUGUUUAUUCACAG
ensembl:lncRNA